GUUUCUUAGGGCUGCUCUGGGAUCCUGGCUGUUGUUCUGAUGACAUUGGAUCCUGCGAGGCAGGAUUUGGGCGUCUUCCAUCCCACGUGGGCGAUCCAAACGGGAGUGGAUGACCUCAGUGUUCUCGGCCUCCGAAGGCAUUCCAAUUCC